CCUACGGGUGGCAGCAGUGAGGAAUAUUGGUCAAUGGGCGAGAGCCUGAACCAGCCAAGUCGCGUGAAGGAUGACGGCCCUACGGGUUGUAAACUUCUUUUGUCAGGGAGCAAUUGGGUCCACGCGUGGGCUUAGCGAGAGUACCUGAAGAAAAAGCAUCGGAUAACUCCAUGCCAGCAGCCGCGGUAAUACGGAGGAUGCCAGGUUUAUACGGAUUUAUUGGGUUUAAAGGGUGCGUAGCCGGAAUACCAAGUCCGCGGGAACAGUUCGGGGCUCAACCCCGUCGUGCCGUUGAAACUGAUGUUCUUGAGUGGGCGAGAAGUAUGCGGAAUGCGUGGUGUAGCGGUGAAAUGCAUAGAUAUCACGCAGAACUCCGAUUGCGAAGGCAGCAUACCGGCGCCCAACUGACGCUGAAGCACGAAAGCGUGGGUAUCGAACAGGAUUAGAUACCCUUGUAGUC
rnacentral:rRNA from 1 species